UUUUCUCUGCAUUUAUGGUCUGGAAGUCACCAUCAAACCUAAUGGUGAGAGAAGGGACCAGCAAGAGUCAAGAUCUCUCUCUCUCACAAACCGGAAGUUUUCCUUGGCUGGAAUGACAAUUUCCCAGCUAAAAGCGUGUGCAAGAACUCUGGAAUAGCCAAUCCUGCCGUACCACAACCACCAAAUAAUGGAACUUUAACCCGUUUCUGGCAAUCUUUAAAUGUCACCCUAAACAGUGAGAUUUCCAUUAGAACAACACUUCCAACUGCUUCUGUGUUUUGAGCGGCCUCUAAAAGCAUUGAGUCUGCUUUGAUGGAUCCGUGGUGCCACUGUGGAGUGGUGUGGAUGAAGGAGGAUGGAG